UACGGGGGGGGCAAGCGUUGUUCGGAAUUACUGGGCGUAAAGGGCUCGUAGGCGGCCAACUAAGUCAGACGUGAAAUCCCUCGGCUUAACCGGGGAACUGCGUCUGAUACUGGAUGGCUUGAGUUUGGGAGAGGGAUGCGGAAUUCCAGGUGUAGCGGUGAAAUGCGUUGAUAUCGACCGGAACUCCGGUGGCGAAGGCGAGGUGCUGGGCCCUUUCUGACGCUGAGUGCGCGAAAGCCAGGGGAGCAAACGGG
rnacentral:rRNA from 1 species